rnacentral:lncRNA from 1 species
AAAAAAGUCACUAAAAAUGGACGAAAAGUAAAGGGUAUAGUCUUACUUUUUUGCUGUUUUUUGCCCACUUAUGAAAAAUGAAAAAGUCGCCAAAAAUGGACGAAAAGUUAAGGGUAUAGCCUUACUUUUUUGCUGUUUUUUGCCCACUUAUGAAAAAUGAAAAAAGUCGCCAAAUAUGGACGAAAAGUUAAGGGUAUAGCCUUACUUUUUUUCUGUUUUUUGCCCACUUAUGAAAAAUGAAAAAAGUCGCUAAAAAUGGACGAAGGCUAUAGCCUUACUUUUUUGCUGUUUUUUGCCCACUUAUGAAAAAUGAAAAAAGUCGCCAAAUAUGGACGAAAAGUUAAGGGUAUAGCCUUACUUUUUUGCUGUUUUUUGCCCACUUAUGAAAAAUGAAAAAAGUCGCUAAAAAUGGACGAAGGCUAUAG